UACGUAGGGGGCAAGCGUUGUCCGGAAUCAUUGGGCGUAAAGCGCGUGUAGGCGGUCCGGUAAGUCGGUUGUGAAAGUCCAGGGCUCAACCCUGGGAUGCCGAUCGAUACUGCCGGACUAGAGUCCGGAAGAGGCGAGUGGAAUUCCCGGUGUAGCGGUGAAAUGCGCAGAUAUCGGGAGGAACACCAAUGGCGAAGGCAGCUCGCUGGGACGGUACUGACGCUGAGACGCGAAAGCGUGGGGAGCGAGCAGG
rnacentral:rRNA from 1 species